CAGUCGAACCAGCCACCGCGUUUCUUUUACGGUGCCUAGAGGGGAAAAAAAACUGCCGCUGUGGGCACUGUUGUAUGCAUGGGAAUGCUGGGAAGUGAUCGCUUUGGAUUGGAUUCUUUCUCAAAGAUCUUGUGAAAUUUUUUUUUUUAUGCUAACACAUGAGGAACUGUGCCGGACUGUGCGGUUAUAUCAAACGGGAACAGUGCCGACGAGAUGCGAAAGUUGGAGAAAAAAAACAACGAGGUCCGCGCACCCUGUCCGUCAGUUUCAAGCAUCCAGUUUCGCCUUGUUUGUUCACUUGCGAUAGAUGCGAUAAACAAUAACUAGAGAUGUAUUAUGGGAAAGCAAGGACUUUAUCCGAUGAUUUCGUUUGCGAAAGCAUUAUCUGUGCGGAAAUGACAAUGUCUCAAGUCAAGCCAAGUUCAAUACCUGCCGCAAUAGCUCAGUGGCAAUGGCACUGUGCUGGUGAGCACGAGCUUGCGGGGUCGAUCCCGGCCACAGUGGCUGCAUUUCAAUGGGGGUGAAAUGCGAAAAUGUUUGUAUAGUUAGACUCAGGUGCGUGCUAAAGAACUCCGGGUAGUCUGAGUUAAUCCGCAUCGUUAAUUCGCAUUUCCUCCCAGGUAAUAUUGCAAGAAGCUCCAUGGAAUCAGCCAAGUUUUGCAUCCUGAACCAAGACUCCACAAAUGAGAUCACGUGUUCAGGUAAUAUUGCAAGAAGCUCCAUGGAAUCAGCCAAGUUUUGCAUCCUGAACCAAGACUCCACAAAUGAGAUCACGUGUUAUGCGACGCCAUUGGGCAAAAGAGGAUGUUCCACAUCUGCCCUCCGAGUGAUGCUGGCUAACACUCCUAGGGCUAGAUUUAGUAAGCAUAAAUACCAAGGUUAGUGGACGAGUUGAUAGCCGUCACCGUAGCAGAAUUGGUAGUGCAACGUGUGCGUAAUGAGGAGGUUGUGGGUUCCGCUUCCGCCGGUGACGAGUUAUCUUUUUGUCCACUUCCUUUUCCCUUUUCUUCAUUAUUUUCUACAUUCCAAUUUCAACCACAGUUAAUUUCCCAGAUGGUUUUCUUGGCUUCAUUGUCUGUUGGCUUUAUGUGGUCAUGAUAUGUAGAGGGGGCUGCGGGCCCCUGUCAAGCUGCCGUUUGUUCGUGCAGCUUUUACCUGCAGCCUCCUCCAUCUUUCUUGAUGGGAAAUAAACAUUAUUUUAUAUAUA